AAAUUCUAAUGUAAACUUAAAUGUUAAUCUGCAGAGGUACAGCUCUGCAGAAUAAGAAUACAACCUUAACUAGUGAGUAAAUUUAUUUAAUAACCAUAGUUGGCCUAAAAGCAGCCACCAAUUAAGAAAGCGUUCAAGCUCAACAAUAAAAUUUAUAUUUAAUACAAAAAAAAAUAACAUAAACUCCUAGUAUAACCACUGGAUUAUUCUACUUGUCCGUAGAAGAGAUACUGUUAAAAUGAGUAACAAGAUUUAUAUCUCCAUACACACGUGUAUAUCAGACCGAAUCCCAACUGAUAGUUAACAAUUAAAUAAACCUAUAUAUUAAUUAACAAUUUAUUAUCAUUAUAUUGUUAACCCAACACCGGAGUGUACAUAAGGAAAGAUUAAAAAAAGUAAAAGGAACUCGGCAAACAUAAACCCCGCCUGUUUACCAAAAACAUCACCUCUAGCAUCACUAGUAUUAGAGGCACUGCCUGCCCAGUGACAUUAGUUAAACGGCCGCGGUAUCCUGACCGUGCAAAGGUAGCAUAAUCAUUUGUUCCUUAAUUAGGGACCUGUAUGAAUGGCCCCACGAGGGUUUAACUGUCUCUUACUUUUAAUCAGUGAAAUUGACCUUCCCGUGAAGAGGCGGGAAUAUAAAAAUAAGACGAGAAGACCCUAUGGAGCUUAAAUUUAAGUGUUCAACAAAAUCUUAACUCAAUCCUACAGGAAUAAUAACAUUUUAACUGAACAAUAAAUUUCGGUUGGGGUGACCUCGGAGCAUAAAAAACCCUCCGAGCAAUUUAACUUAGACUUACCAGUCAAAGUAAUAUAAUCUAUUGAUCCAAUCAUAUUGAUCAACGAAACAAGUUACCCUAGGGAUAACAGCGCAAUCCUAUUUAAGAGUCCAUAUCGACAAUAGGGUUUACGACCUCGAUGUUGGAUCAGGACAUCCAAAUGGUGUAGCAGCUAUUAAAGGUUCGUUU
rnacentral:rRNA from 1 species